GAUGAAGAACGUAGCGAAAUGCGAUAAGUCAUGUGAAUUGCAGAAUUCAGUGAAUCAUCGAAUCUUUGAACGCACAUUGCGCCCGCUGGUAUUCCGGCGGGCAUGCCUGUUCGAGCGUCAUUUCAACCCUCAAGCUCUCCGGAGUUUGGUGUUGGGGCGCCUGGGGCUUUUCGACCUCAGGGCCCUCAAGUCCAUCGGCGGGACCGCCAGGACACUGAGCGCAGUAGUAUUAUUUCGCUCGGUAGGAUCUUCCACGGCGGGUCGAUCUGGCCGCUAAACCCCCCAAUUCUCACCAAAGGUUGACCUCGGAUCAGGUAGGAAUACCCGCUGAACUUAAGCAUAUCAAUAAGCGGAGGA
rnacentral:misc_RNA from 1 species